GAACUCGUCGCGGUCCUUGCGUUUCUUCUGGUAGUAGAGGGUUCCGCGCCGCACCACGUAGCAGGCGGCGGCCUUGCGGAUCUUCCUCUUGACGUUGCCCUCGGUCCCCGGCGCAUAAGGUUCCUUCUCGUUGGUCAGGUUGGUUUCGGCCGUAGGGAGCGGGAAAGGUUUCCUCGGAUAGAUAAAAUGGCUGCUGCACAACCGGAGGUGACAUCAGGCGGCUGCGACCCUCGAACCGGAGCUCCACUCGCUGCAAAAUGGCGGUCGCAGUCUUGCAGCGUCUGGGUCAUUCUUGGGGAAGGACUCCCCCCCCCCAUGGACGCGUCAGGUGACAAGGAUUACUCUCGCUUUUCCUAGUUUUGGUGGGGACGUGAAAUAUGCCCCGAGGAUAAGACUGACAAAAAUAAAACUGGAGAUUCAAAACACAAAA